GGGGUGUGCUCAGACAGGGGGCCUGGAGAAUGGCCUCUCUGUUUACAACACAGCCAAGAAGAAUAUGGGGGCAUCAUAAUGAGGGGCACAGCACUGUGUCCUGUCUGUAAGUAGACCUCCUACAUGU
rnacentral:snoRNA from 1 species